rnacentral:rRNA from 1 species
UACGUAGGGGGCAAGCGUUGUCCGGAAUCAUUGGGCGUAAAGCGCGUGUAGGCGGUUCGGUAAGUCUGCUGUGAAAGUCCAGGGCUCAACCCUGGGAUGCCGGUGGAUACUGUCGGACUAGAGUACGGAAGAGGCGAGUGGAAUUCCCGGUGUAGCGGUGAAAUGCGCAGAUAUCGGGAGGAACACCAAUUGCGAAGGCAGCUCGCUGGGACGUUACUGACGCUGAGACGCGAAA